GACGAACGCUGGCGGCGUGCUUAACACAUGCAAGUCGAACGGAAAGGCCCUGCUUUUGUGGGGUGCUCGAGUGGCGAACGGGUGAGUAACACGUGAGUAACCUGCCCUUGACUUUGGGAUAACUUCAGGAAACUGGGGCUAAUACCGGAUAGGAGCUCCUGCUGCAUGGUGGGGGUUGGAAAGUUUCGGCGGUUGGGGAUGGACUCGCGGCUUAUCAGCUUGUUGGUGGGGUAGUGGCUUACGAAGGCUUUGACGGGUAGCCGGCCUGAGAGGGGGACCGGCCACAUUGGGACUGAGAUAAGGCCCAGAAGCCUACGGGAGGCAGGAGUGGGGAAUAUUGCACAAUGGGCGGAAGCCUGAUGCAGCAACGCCGCGUGCGGGAUGACGGCCUUCGGGUUGUAAACCGCUUUCGCCUGUGACGAAGCGUGAGUGACGGUAAUGGGUAAAGAAGCACCGGCUAACUACGUG
rnacentral:rRNA from 1 species